rnacentral:rRNA from 1 species
UACGUAGGCAGCAAGCGUUGUUCGGAAUUACUGGGCGUAAAGAGUGUGUAGGCGGUGUUCUAAGUUUGUCGUGAAAUCUCCCGGCCUAACUGGGAGGGUGCGGCGAAAACUGGAAUGCUAGAGGAUGGGAGAGGUAAGCGGAAUUCCUGGUGUAGCGGUGAAAUGCGUAGAUAUCAGGAAGAACACCCGUGGCGAAGGCGGCUCUCUGGGACGGUACUGACGCUGAGACGCGAAAGCGUGGGGAGCGAACAGG